rnacentral:rRNA from 1 species
CCUACGGGUGGCAGCAGUGGGGAAUAUUGCGCAAUGGGCGAAAGCCUGACGCAGCGACGCCGCGUGAGGGAUGAAGGUCUUCGGAUCGUAAACCUCUGUCAGCAGGGAAGAACGGUCACUGUGCUAAUCAGCAGUGAAUUGACGGGACCUGCAAAGGAAGCACCGGCUAACUCCGUGCCAGCAGCCGCGGUAAUACGGGGGGUGCGAGCGUUAAUCGGAAUUACUGGGCGUAAAGCGCUCGUAGGCGGUAUGGCAAGUCAAGGGGGAAAUCCCCGCGCUCAACGUGGGAACUGCCUUUGAAACUGGCAAACUGGAGUGUGUGAGAGGAUAGUGGAAUUCGAGGUGUAGGAGUGAAAUCCGUAGAUAUCUGGAGGAACAUCAGUGGCGAAGGCGACUAUCUGGCACAUAACUGACGCUGAGGAGCGAAAGCGUGGGUAGCAAACAGGAUUAGAUACCCCUGUAGUC